AUUGAACGCUGGCGGAAUGCUUUACACAUGCAAGUCGAACGGCAGCACGGACUUCGGUCUGGUGGCGAGUGGCGAACGGGUGAGUAAUGUAUCGGAACGUGCCCAGUCGUGGGGGAUAACGUAGUGAAAAUUACGCUAAUACCGCAUACGAUCUAUGGAUGAAAGCGGGGGAUCGCAAGACCUCGCGCGAUUGGAGCGGCCGAUAUCAGAUUAGGUAGUUGGUGGGGUAAAGGCCCACCAAGCCAACGAUCUGUAGCUGGUCUGAGAGGACGACCAGCCACACUGGAAAUGAGACACGGUCCAGACUCCGACGGGGGGCAGCAGUGGGGGAUUUUGGACAAUGGGCGAAAGCCUGAUCCAGCCAUUCCGCGUGCAGGAUGAAGGCCCUCGGGUUGUAAACUGCUUUUGUACAGAACGAAAAGGUUUCUACUAAUACUAGGAGCUCAUGACGGUACUGUAAGAAUAAGCACCGGCUAACUACGUGCCAGCCGCCGCCGUAA
rnacentral:rRNA from 1 species